rnacentral:lncRNA from 1 species
GGCGGGGCGGGGCGGGGCCUGGAGACCCGAGCGCCCGGGGGGCGGGGCCGGGCCGCGUGGGGGCGUGGCGGUCGGGCGGAGGGGGCGGAGUCCGCCGGCGGCAGGGGGCGGGGGCGGGGAGCGCAGGAGAGGGUCCGGCGGGGGGGGGGGCGGGGCGGGGCCUGGACACCCGAGCGCCCGGGGGGCGGGGCCUGGCCGCGCGUGGGCGUGGCGGUCGGGCGUUGCGGUAGAGGGGACCCGUGGCGGUCGGUGGUCGGUGGCCGUUGGCUUGGCGGUUGGCAAGGCUCGGAACUGUGGACUCGUGCCCGGGGGCGGGGUCAUUCGUAUCCGCUCUCUGAACCGCCGCCACCCCAAGCUGCAAAGAGCUUCAGCUCCAGCGCGGUUAAUCCGUAGAGAGAGGCCAGGUCUCCGCCAGGCCCCGGAGGUGGGGGGAGAAGCUGCGAACUGUGGGUUUUCCCGGAGAUGCCGGAAGGGAUGGCUGGGAAGGCAGCGAGAUUCCGACGGAAGCUAGAGAGCAUGGCCAGACCCAACAGACGAAGCCACAGGGAGGCCAGUUGAGACUUGACUGAAGAAGGUAAGGACCGAGGGGCUGAGCACCCCAUGCCUGGGAUCCAGCAGUCAUUUGCCAGGAAGGCUGAGCCCCGGGGUGGCAAGAGCGUGGUUUUGGAAAGGAGAAGUGUCUCUGCUUCUGGCGUAGAGUUGGUCAUUUAUUUUUUUUUAUUUUUAUUUUUUUAUUUAUUUAUGAUAGUCACGGAGAGAGAGAGAGAGGCAGAGACAUAGGCAGAGGGAGAAGCAGGCUCCAUGCAUCGGGAGCCCGAUGUGGGACUCGAUCCCGGGUCUCCAGGAUCGCGCCCUGGGCCAAAGGCAGGCGCCAAACCGCUGCGCCACCCAGGGAUCCCGAGUUGGUCAUUUAGUUCUCCAAGCCCGCACGUCCUCAUUUCUGAACCAUUGGUGAGAAAGCGCUCCGCACAGCAAGGCCGGCGGGAGCUCUGUCCAAGGUGGCGCACCAGGGUGGAGCACAACCAAGGCUGGAGUGUACUCACUGACACCAGAGCUACUCUGUCGACGCUGCACUACAACAGCCUCAUCCUGGGGAUUAGCAGCAAAGUGGAUGCCAUUGGAUUAGAGAUUAUAAUUGGCAAGCCCACAGUGGAAAUCCUUUGA